rnacentral:tRNA from 1 species
GGAGAGAUGCUGGAGUUUGGCUGAACAGGCACGACUGGAAAUCGUGUAGGGGUGAUGAGCCCCUCGAGGGUUCGAAUCCCUCUCUCUCCGCCA